UAGGGAAUAUUGGGCAAUGGAGGGAACUCUGACCCAGCCAUGCCGCGUGCAGGAUGAAGGCGUUAUGCGUUGUAAACUGCUUUUAUAUAGGAAGAAAUAGUCCUUGCGAGGAAAGUUGACGGUACUAUAUGAAUAAGCACCGGCUAACUCCGUGCCAGCAGCCGCGGUAAUACGGAGGGUGCAAGCGUUGUCCGGAUUUAUUGGGUUUAAAGGGUGCGUAGGCGGUUUAUUAAGUCAGUGGUGAAAGACGGUCGCUCAACGAUUGCAGUGCCAUUGAUACUGGUAGACUUGAGUAUGAUUGAGGUAGCUGGAAUGGAUAGUGUAGCGGUGAAAUGCAUAGAUAUUAUCCAGAACACCAAUUGCGUAGGCAAGUUACUAAGUCAUAACUGACGCUGAGGCACGAAAGUGUGGGUAUCAAACAGGAUUAGAUACCCAGGUAGUCCCUGAGCGGGCUGGCAAGGCGCAU
rnacentral:rRNA from 1 species